UUAUUAGCCGUUCAUAUUAAUUAAGGCUGUGUUCGAAGUACUGGUAAAGCGUACUUCGCGGACCAGUUUGAUGACUUCGCUGGAAGUUUCACCAUAUUCAGACCUGUUUGAAGUAUCUAGACUUCUACUCCAAGUGGUCCACAGAGGUCGCUUCGACGAAGACCACAUUGAUGUGGUAUACCUACAAGGUCUACUAGUCCAAAGAUGGAUGACAACAGUCUAUCGCCAAAUAGUCAGGAAUAUAAAAAAGCAUCUAAAUGUUCAUAACAAGAGUGCUUAAAGCCGUUCGAACUUCUCUCUCUACAAAGAAUACUUAGCUCGAGAGUACUACAACUU
rnacentral:lncRNA from 1 species